UACGAAGGGGGGCUAGCGUUGCUCGGAAUCACUGGGCGUAAAGCGCACGUAGGCGGACUCUUAAGUCAGGGGUGAAAUCCUGGAGCUCAACUCCAGAACUGCCUUUGAUACUGAGAGCCUUGAGUUCGGGAGAGGUGAGUGGAACUGCGAGUGUAGAGGUGAAAUUCGUAGAUAUUCGCAAGAACACCAGUGGCGAAGGCGGCUCACUGGCCCGAUACUGACGCUGAGGUGCGAAAGCGUGGGGAGCAAACAGG
rnacentral:rRNA from 1 species